rnacentral:rRNA from 1 species
UACGAAGGGGGCCAGCGUUGCUCGGAAUCACUGGGCGUAAAGGGUGCGUAGGCGGGUUCUUAAGUCAGAGGUGAAAUCCUGGAGCUCAACUCCAGAACUGCCUUUGAUACUGAGAGUCUUGAGUAUGACAGAGGUGAGUGGAACUGCGAGUGUAGAGGUGAAAUUCGUAGAUAUUCGCAAGAACACCAGUGGCGAAGGCGGCUCACUGGGUCAUUACUGACGCUGAGGCACGAAAGCGUGGCGAGCAAACAGG